rnacentral:rRNA from 1 species
GACGGGGGGGGGGCAAGUGUUCUUCGGAAUGACUGGGCGUAAAGAGCUCGUAGGCGGUUUGUCGCGUCUGCCGUGAAAGUCCGGGGCUCAACUCCGGAUCUGCGGUGGGUACGGGCAGACUAGAGUGAUGUAGGGGAGACUGGAAUUCCUGGUGUAGCGGUGAAAUGCGCAGAUAUCAGGAGGAACACCAGCGGCGAAGGCGGCGCUCUGGGCCGGUACUGACGCUGAGGUGCGAAAGCGUGGGGAGCAAACAGG